CACGGAGGGUGCGAGCGUUAAUCGGAAUCACUGGGCGUAAAGCGCGCGUAGGCCGUCUUGUAAGUCGGGCGUGAAAGCCCUCGGCUCAACCGAGGAAUUGCGUUCGAUACUGCUUGACUUGAGUAUCGGAGAGGUUGGCGGAAUUCCGGGUGUAGGAGUGAAAUCCGUAGAUAUCCGGAGGAACACCGGUGGCGAAGGCGGCCAACUGGACGAAUACUGACGCUGAGGCGCGAAAGCGUGGGGAG
rnacentral:rRNA from 1 species